UACGUAGGGGGCAAGCGUUGUUCGGAAUUACUGGGCGUAAAGCGCACGUAGGCGGACUGUUAAGUCGGGGGUGAAAUCCUGGGGCUCAACCUCAGAAUUGCCUCCGAUACUGGCAGUCUCGAGUGCGGGAGAGGUGAGUGGAAUUCCCAGUGUAGAGGUGAAAUUCGUAGAUAUUGGGAAGAACACCAGUGGCGAAGGCGGCUCACUGGCCCGUAACUGACGCUGAGGUGCGAAAGCGUGGGGAGCAAACAGG
rnacentral:rRNA from 1 species